ACCCUUUUUCGGUUCAUAAGCAUGAUGACUGGGCACUCACACAUUUGUGUGAUAUGUGCCUCCAUUAAAUCUUGUUGCACACUUGGCACAUUACCCAUCUGAUG